CGGUGCUCGCGCACACGCGGGGGCCUGGAGCAGAGCUCCCGAAGGAGGAAGCACGAGGGGCCGCCAGGGGGAGCCGCUGAGUCUUAAAGGCGCCGCCGCUAGUGGCGGGGUGCUGGAUGGUGGCCAGUACAGAGUGCGGGCUGACUCAGGUUCACACUCUGGGAUGCCCUAUAACCAACCGAGAGAGAAGAGGGACUGGGACUCCAUGCAAGAGUGCACGGAGCAUCUUCAGGAGGGGCUUUUCUUUGCCAGUUGAAGGGGCAUCGAUCGACUUCUGUCUCAAUCCCUGGAUUCUCUGAGCCACCUACCCUGCCCCUGUCCAUGAGGUAACAUUCCAGCCAUCAGAAUGCUUCAGGCAUAGGAAAGAGAAAUUAAGGCUCUUCCCAGACACAUGGGUUUCCCUUGGCGUGGGUGAGGAGAGACACUUUUAGGCUUUGGAAAUAAAGGCAAUUUUUUGAAUGUC